UCCCUUUUUUGCAAUUUGCUAACGUAUUUUGGAAUGACUUUGAUAAUCCGAUUUUCCCACAUUGUGAAAUUUUCAAUUUCGUUAAUCAUGUAGAAUAUCUAGUCGAUCAAAUACCUACUGAUAUUUUAUCGAAGGAGAUAUUUCGAAAAACAAUGAAACGAUUUGAACUGGGCACAUUUGAUUUCAACCUUAUAAAAGGUAGCUUUGAUUACAAUCAAGUAGGAAGCUUUUCCGCCGUUUUUGGCAAAUUUCUGACCUUAGUUUGGAAUCAAUUUGAUGAUCGAUUCGUCCACAUUGUCGAGGUGUGUUUGCAACUCGGGCGGUCAGAGCCGGUGAACUAUGACCACAUGGGCCAAAGGUACAAUGGGUGGUGGUUGUUGCAUCUAAUUCAAUUUCUAUCGGCGUACAAUCUAGUAGCUUUGCGGGUUUUGAUUUUAUAUUGCUUACGGUAUUAAAAAUUGAUGAAAUGUAUAUGCCUUCCACGUGUUUGACAUUUGGCUUCUGAAGUAAGUCGUUUUUCGGCCUAUAGUUUUUUGUGAAGUCUUGAUUCCAAAAUAAGCAGCAAAGUCGGGAUCCAUAGCUUUGAAACCAUUCUUUCAUCUGAAGUUUUCUGGGCAAUUGAGUUUCAUAUGACUUGGAAGUUGGAACUACAUCUCUCACUUUGUCACUCUCGCAAACAUACUAACAAAGUCACAGUCUUUUGCAGUUACCCACCAGGUGAAAUUAUUGUCAGGGCUCGUUGGUUGCUUCCAUUGAACAAAGCAGCCUAAGCAGCUGGUUUGGAGAAUCAUGGAAGCACACAAAGGGAGGAUACGCAGUUUGUAGAAUCGGUGUAUUUGUGCGUACAUUAUCUCUUUUGGAUAGUUUUAUUGAUGAAUCCGUACUUCACUUUCCAGUAAACCCUGGUGAACUAGAUUUCCAGAAUCAUGUUAGUUUAGUGAGGCUUAGAUAGUAUAUAAUAUCAACCCAGAAUGUUGAUCUCCUCAUAUAUUCUUACAGUAUAGCUGAUUUGGACUUUCUGAAAAGUCUUAAAUAUUACCUUACUACUGUCUACUCUAACCAGAAUGUUAUACUAUUCAUUGUUAUCCUUUGCGAUGACUAUUUUUAUGAUAUGUUCGUUAACUAAGGUAAUGAUCCCUCUAACUUGUCCAUGUUUUCUUUCUAGCCUGUCCUUCCCUCUCACUUAGCUGAAUAUGAGAGGCUCAGGUGGUGUCGGGUAGCAUUUCAUGCACUUUCAUUUCCACCCAGAAAUUUUGGCACUGGGACAACUAAUGGUGGAAAGUCAUUUCGGCUUUUCCCUCCAGAUACUCGGGACUUAAGUUCUUUCAGCAUCUUUUGUACAAACCUGUCUAAUUUCUGUGUGGGAGGAUAGAUUUGCAUCUUCAGUUGAAAGAUGUGAACCAGGUGGUUGUAGGACUUGUGUGGAAGAGCAAUUUUGCAACAAAUGUUCCUUUGGUUAGGAAUAGCUAAGACAUGAACAUGCUGACCAUCCUUCUUCAGAUGUUGUACCUUUGGUCUUGCUAGUGUGAGGUAAGAAAAAAUCCAGUUAAGAAUGCAUUGACACUGGUUAAAAAUCGGAUUACGGAAUCUGGUUUGGCUUGUGGGUACUGAUAUUUCAGUCAUUAUUGAGCAUGAAAAGAUUUAAUUGUAGUUAGAGUGCAAGCGGUUUAAUCAUUCCACAAUUCGGCAUGGGACUCUUGGGUGGAAGUCAUGUAUGGUGCUCCAUUGAGGCAUGCAAGCUUGAUUCUAAAUUCAGGGCCAUGCAGGGACACCAUUUAAUUGCGCACUUCCACUUAGAAUAGGUAGUCCUAUCCUAUUCAUGAUGUAUUGCAUCAUUCAAUUGGGAUAUGCUGCUUUAUCCGUUGGCUUGAUUUAGCUUUCUCUCGUGAAAUGCAUUUUUUUUCUCUUUCUUGAACUGCUAUUUUUUGUUGUUGUAACAUCUGUCUUCCGGUAGGAUGAUUGAUUGGAAAUUAACUUUUCCAUAACAGGAUACGAGCAUUAGGCCAACCUAUCUUGCUUUCAAUCUUGGCCUUGUGAGAGAUACCUUGGCAUAUACUCCCUCAGACAUCCCAAAAUACCGUAACCAGACAACACCAUUUCACACACAUACCCCCCCAAUGCACUUCCCCACCACACCCACACACUUACAUAGCCACACACACCCAAUGGAUACUUCAACUGAUAUCGAUACAGGUGCAGGAGAAUGGUGUGAACUGUGAACAAUUCCAUAGGAGUGACGUAAAUACCUCACUCACGUACCAAUCUGUAUUUCCUUGGUGUAUACUCACUCCAAUUACCCUAUGGAAGAUUUGGAACGAUAGUAUCUGGGAUUUGUUCUGAUAAUAUUGAUUCCAUUGUUCAAUAAAUCUGUAGAAAAAUUGAGUCUUAUGAAUCCAAAUGUGUUGAGGCAUUUAAAUUCCCCCAAAUCCUCUUGCUGCUUCUCCUAUUUAAGUUUAAUGGUAUCCUCCUAGAGCAGGAACUUUGAAGCUAAACAUGGAUGGCAGCUGACAUGAAAGUAAUGGAAAAGGAGGUUUUGGUGGUGUUUUCAAAAUAGAAGAAGGCAGAUGGCACCUUGGUUAGUACGGCAAGUUCACAUUUACCUCAAGUUUAGAAGCUGAAAUUUGGCUAUUGGGGCCUAACCAUCAUCUUAGUGAAAAGGAUGACCAAUGUGAAGAUAGAGUCUGAGCCACUUCAAGCUGCCAAUUCGAUUAGGAAGGAGCCCCUCCAACCUGGCUGCAUGGUGCUGUCAUUUGGGAUGCUUUGUUUUUGUUAUUCAGGAAGAGCUGCUCCAUUGGACACAUUUGUCAAAAAGCCUAUCAAAGUGCCCACCACCUAGCAAGACUUGGAUCUGAGCAAGAUGAAGACCCCAUAGUGUGCGUCCACAUGCACAUUUUGUGCUCAAAGAUGCCACGGGGACGAGUUGGCUUAGGGAUCAGCCCGAGUUGUUUAUGUAUUAUGUAGUUAUGGUUGUGUUCUCUUCCCUAUUACAAGCCAGUUAGCAAUUAUUUAUAGUGUUUGUAGUUAGGAAGUGUAAAUGACUACUUCUAAGCACUUUAUUACACUUUCUUUUUUUU